rnacentral:rRNA from 1 species
GUCAUCCUACGGGAGGCAGCAGUGGGGAAUAUUGCACAAUGGGCGCAAGCCUGAUGCAGCCAUGCCGCGUGUGUGAAGAAGGCCUUCGGGUUGUAAAGCACUUUCAGCAGUGAGGAAGGCGGAGUCGUUAAUAGCGGCCUCGUUUGACGUUAGCUGCAGAAGAAGCACCGGCUAACUCCGUGCCAGCAGCCGCGGUAAUACGGAGGGUGCGAGCGUUAAUCGGAAUUACUGGGCGUAAAGCGCAUGCAGGUGGUUUGUUAAGUCAGAUGUGAAAGCCCGGGGCUCAACCUCGGAAUAGCAUUUAGAAACUGGCAGACUAGAGUACUGUAGAGGGGGUAGAAUUUCAGGUGUAGCGGUGAAAUGCGUAGAGAUCUGAAGGAAUACCGGUGGCGAAGGCGGCCCCCUGGACAGAUACUGACACUCAGAUGCGAAAGCGUGGGGAGCAAACAGGAUUAGAUACCCUGGUAG